CUAUCCCUAGUGACAUGCGUGAAGAAGCUUGGAAAUGGUGCUGGGUAGGAGCUGAGUGUGCAGAAUGUGGAAAGGCAUUCUAAACCAAAGGAAGAACACGAGUAAAGAUGAUGAAGCAGGGAUAAGGCUAAAAUGAAAUUUGUGAUCUGAUCCACAUACAAGCACAGUGUAGUACAGCUGGAAUAUAGAGAAGAGCUUGAAGACUUAUGAGCAACUAUCCCGGUACUCUUGGAGGCUCUGCAACCACAGUUUGAGAAACUCCGCGUUCAAAGUUAAAAACUGUCACCUGAAUAGUUAAUAACAUCAAAGAUUGUGAAAGCAAGUAUAAAUAACACAGAGAUUAAAAUAAUGAGGCAGGAUCAGAAAAUGAUGAAGGUUUAAGAAGCAGCAUCAUCAGCGAACUGUGUUUUGAAGAUUUGAGGGAAGGGCUGACCUCAGGAUUUUAUACUAGUUGCUGACCUCCAUAACAGCAGACAAAAUUGGAAGCAAGAGUGAUUUUGGAGGAGUCACACUUAGAUGUUUCCCUUACCUAUUUCUGUUCUGGAAAUUUAAAAAUCUUACUUCUCGUGACAGUCCUACAUGAAAAAUUAAAAAUCACAAGGAUUCAUGGAUGGAAAA
rnacentral:lncRNA from 1 species